rfam:Schistosoma margrebowiei strain Zambia genome assembly, scaffold: SMRZ_scaffold0000068
AUCCAGCUGAUGAGUCCCAAAUAGGACGAAAUGUGCGUCAAACUGGAU